UUGAAAGGGAAACGAUUGAAGUCAGUCGUACCUAUGGGUAAUCAGCCUUUUGGGUGUGAUUUUGUGGAGCGUGAGGAGUUAAACGCCUUCAUGCCUGCAUAUUCGUGCACUUUGGGUGUACUUGCCCGUAUGGUUGGUUAACAUCAAUUUUGGUGGUCAUAAAAUGACUGGAGGAAUGUAGCUUCGAUCUUGUAUUGAAGUGUUAUAGCCUUCGGUAGAUGUGAUGAUCGAGAUUGAGGAUUGCAACGGAUACCCUUCGGGGCUACCUGUCUGGUCUCUGAUCGUUGCUCUGGUGCCGAAAGCUUGCUUACGGUUAUCAAAGUCGAUGGUCAAUAGGUUAGAACAGGUUAAAUUCGUUAAGGAUGUUGACGUA
rnacentral:rRNA from 1 species